rnacentral:sRNA from 1 species
AUACGCCAUUCGUACACUGCGGUUCCGACCGCGCCGUCCACACCCGCCUGACGACCAAUACGUUUCGUUAGCC